GACGAACGCUGGCGGUGUGCUUAACACAUGCAAGUCGAACGGUAAGGCCCUUUCGGGGGUACACGAGUGGCGAACGGGUGAGUAACACGUGAGUAACCUGCCCUCAUCUCUGGGAUAACAGUCGGAAACGGUUGCUAAUACUGGAUAUGAGCUUGCAAGGCAUCUUGUGGGUUGGAAAGAUUUUUUUGGUUGGGGAUGGACUCGCGGCCUAUCAGCUUGUUGGUGAGGUAGUGGCUCACCAAGGCUUCGACGGGUAGCCGGCCUGAGAGGGCGACCGGCCACAUUGAGACUGAGAUACGGCCCAAACUCCUACGGGAGGCAGCAGUGGGGAAUAUUGCACAAUGGACGGAAGUCUGAUGCAGCAACGCCGCGUGCGGGAUGACGGCCUUCGGGUUGUAAACCGCUUUCAAUUGUGACGAAGCUUUUUUGUGACGGUAGCAGUAGAAGAAGCACCGGCUAACUACGUG
rnacentral:rRNA from 1 species